AUGUGUAUACAAUUAGGUAUAAAAUUUGGCAUAAAAUUAGGUGAAAAAUUAGGUCGUGUCAUUUUAACAUCUGAAUUUGUAUUAGAUACAUUAUUUUGGGAUAUUGGCCUAAAUAAUCGAAAGUAGACGUCAUUGGUUAUUGGCGGUCCCACCUUUUUUAUUCUCCUGUCCCACAUUUCAACUAUUUUUCCUCCACCUGUCCUCUACAAACUGAUGUUUUAGGGCUUUUGAUCAGAACUAGGAUUUGAGUCUAUUGAUGUAAAACUUAUCUCUAAACGGUUCUCAAAACCACUAGAUUUUUGUUAAUUGGAAGUUUAAACACCUGAAUUGUAACACCGUUUUCAUCAUUUGGGGCACCAUUUCAAGGUAAGUUUUACAUCGGUAGACUCGUAUCCUCGUUCUGAUCAAAAGCCUUAAAACGUCAGUUUGUAAUUCGGAGAAAAGGAUCUGCCGGGGCCCAUUUUUUAUUUAUAGGUAUUAGAGCUCGAAAAUAUUUUAGUUGUUUGACCCUUCAAAAUUAAUUUUGGCUAAGUAGUAAAUCUGAGAAAAGAAAAAUGAAAAAGAAAGAUAUCGGAACUUUUACAGGUAUACGAACGUGAGAAUUGCAGGUUUUGUGAAGAGGAAGAAGAAGUAA
rnacentral:lncRNA from 1 species